rnacentral:rRNA from 1 species
UAGGGGAAUUUUCGUCAAUGGGCGCAAGCCUGAACGAGCAAUGCCGCGUGAACGAGGAAGGUCUUCGGAUCGUAAAGUUCUGUUGAAGGGGAAAAAGAGCGGAGAGAGGAAAUGCUUUCUGAUUGAUAUUACCCUUCGAGGAAGUCACGGCUAACUACGUGCC